rnacentral:rRNA from 1 species
GCUUACGACCACACCGGCCUGUGUAUGCUUGAUCUCAUCUGAUCUCGGAAGCUAAGCAGGGUCGGGCCUGGUUAGUACUUGGAUGGGAGACCGCCUGGGAAUACCAGGUGCUGUAAGCU